CCUACGGGAGUCAGCAGUGAGGAAUAUUGGUCAAUGGUCGAGAGUCUGAACCAGCCAAGUAGCGUGAAGGAUGACUGCCCUAUGGGUUGUAAACUUCUUUUAUAUGGGAAUAAAACGUUCCACGUGUGGGAUUUUGUAUGUACCAUAUGAAUAAGGAUCGGCUAACUCCGUGCCAGCAGCCGCGGUAAUACGGAGGAUCCGAGCGUUAUCCGGAUUUAUUGGGUUUAAAGGGAGCGUAGGUGGAUUGUUAAGUCAGUUGUGAAAGUUUGCGGCUCAACCGUAAAAUUGCAGUUGAAACUGGCAGUCUUGAGUACAGUAGAGGUGGGCGGAAUUCGUGGUGUAGCGGUGAAAUGCUUAGAUAUCACGAAGAACUCCGAUUGCGAAGGCAGUUCACUGGACUGCAACUGACACUGAGGCUCGAAAGUGUGGGUAUCAAACAGGAUUAGAUACCCUAGUAGUC
rnacentral:rRNA from 1 species